rnacentral:rRNA from 1 species
GACGAACGCUGGCGGCGUGCUUAACACAUGCAAGUCGAACGGAAAGGCCCUGCUUUUGUGGUGUGCUCGAGUGGCGAACGGGUGAGUAACACGUGAGUAACCUGCCCUUGACUUUGGGAUAACUUCAGGAAACUGGGGCUAAUACCGGAUAGGAGCUCCUGCUGCAUGGUGGGGGUUGGAAAGUUUCGGCGGGUGGGGAUGGACGCGCGGCUUAUCAGCUUGUUGGUGGGGUAGUGGCUUACCAAGGCUUUGACGGGUCGCCGGCCUGAGAGGGUGACCGGCGACAUUGGGACUGAGAUACGGACCAGACUCCUACGGUAGGCAGCAGUGGGGAAUAUUGCACAAUGGGCGGAAGCCUGAUGCAGCAACGCCGCGUGCGGGAUGACGGCCUGCGGGUUGUAAACCGCUUUCGCCUGUGACGAAGCGUGAGUGACGGUAAUGGGUAAAGAAGCACCGGCUAACUACGUG